rnacentral:rRNA from 1 species
AUUGAACGCUGGCGGCAUGCUUUACACAUGCAAGUCGAACGGUAACAGGCCGCAUGGUGCUGACGAGUGGCGCACGGGCGGGUAAUGCAUCGGAACGUGCCCAGCCGUGGGGUUUAACUAAUCGAAAGAGUAGCUAAUAUCGCAUACGAUCGAUGGGUGCCAGCGGGGGGCGGUAGGGCCUCGCUCGGUUGGGGCGGCCGAUGCCGGCUUAGGUAGUGGGGGGGGUAAAGGCGCCCCCAGCCAACGAUCUGUAGCUGGUGUGAGAGGACGAGCAGCCACACUGGGACUGAGACACGGCCCAGACUCCUACGGGAGGCAGCAGUGGGGAAUUUUGGGCAAUGGGCGCAAGCCUGAUCCAGCGAUGCCGCGUGUAGGAAGACGGCGUUCGGGUUGUAAAGUGCUCUUGUGCGGAACGAAACGGCUCUGGUUAAUACCCGGGGUUAAUGACGGUACCGUAAGAAUAAGCACCGGCUAACUACGUG